GCCUGUGAACUGAGAUUAAAGGUUGUCUGUGGUGCAGAGGAUGCAAAUAAAUGCUUUAUAGAGUUUCACGCUAGCAGCAUUGGUGCACAUUGUGGACAAAAAAAACCCAAAUAUGCCAUAUCCAAAAGGUUUUACUGGCCAGGGAUGUCCGAGGAUCUUGACAAAUGGGUGGCUGAAUGUGUGGCAUGUCAGGCCACUAAAGCAUCCAUUAAAGAAGAGGUCAAAAUUACACCUAUACAGGUCACACAACCCUUCGAACUUUUGGGGAUGGAUCUGAUCGGGAAACUCGUUUGCACAGACAGUAGCAAUCAAUAAUAUAUGCGUAAUAAUUGAUUACUUGACCAAAUGGCCACAGGCUUAUCCACUCAGAAGUAAGUCUGCAGAGGAGGUCACAAACUGUAUUAUCAAGUUUUUCAAUCAGUUUGAGGCACCAAAAUGCAUACUCACAGACCAAGGGAGGGAGUUUGUU